GCCCCCCCCCCACGCCUCCUCCCCUCCUCCCGCCCACGCCCCGCUCCCCGCCCCCGGAGCCCCGCGGACGCUACGCCGCGACGAGUAGGAGGGCCGCUGCGGUGAGCCUUGAAGCCUAGGGCGCGGGCCCGGGUGGAGCCGCCGCAGGUUCAGACAUUUGGUGUAUGUGCUUGGCUGAGGAGCCAAUGGGGCGAAGCUACCAUCUGUGGGAUUAUGACUGAACGCCUCUAAGUCAGAAUCCCGCCCAGGCGGAACGAUACGGCAGCGCCGCGGAGCCUCGGUUGGCCUCGGAUAGCCGGUCCCCCGCC
rnacentral:lncRNA from 1 species